CCAACUAAGUUUGUUCUUGGUAUAAGCUUUCGUGUGCAUGCACACUUCUUCAGAUACACUGAAACAGAAGUCACCAGACCCUAUAUAAGGUGUAUCUGAAGAAGUGUGCACGCACACGAAAGCUUAUACCAAGAACCAACUUAGUUGG
rnacentral:miRNA from 1 species